GCAGGGAUCAUGACCAGAACACCUCCGGUGGAAGCUGUCAAAGGAGGAGGAAGAGCAAUAGAAUCCUGUUGCGGUUUUACAGCAUUCCCUGUUUCUACAAGCGGGGAAGGCCAAAUACUUGGACCCAGAAUACACAUUUAGAAAAAUCAUAACAGUGGAGAGGGGUAUUCGGCUUCCAGGGUUGAAAGAUCGCCAAAUUAUUAGAGAAUCGCCAAGGGGUGGCGACUCAUCCCAGGUAUCGAUUUCUUGCUCUGACCAUAAUCGACCCAAUCUGUUACAAAGGGCAGCAAUACAAGCUUUCUCUUCCUAUGCGGGAUAGUCCAUGAGGACAAUCUCAAUUCAGAAAACAUAGGAGCACGACACUCGCAUCGGUCGAACCGGAACUCGGAGUCUCCAGCCAUGGGUGUCACCGACACCACUCAACAAGCCUUCGACCGAGCCCAAGAGCUUAAGCGAUUUGAAGAAUCCCAGCUCGGCGUCAAAGGUCUCCUCGACUCCGGCCUCACCUCCAUCCCUCCCCUCUUCAUCCACCCGCCCGAGACCCUCUCCGGCCUCAAGCCAGCCCGCCUCAGGCCCGUUUCGAUCCGUUCAAUCCCCAACAUUGACCUCUCCAGCUGCGACUCUGGCUAGCAGCCCUCCAUCAUCGAAGAAGUGAGGUGCAGGGCUCGCGAACUCGGCUUCUUCCAGGUAGUCAACCACGGUGUGCCAAUGGAGGUCAUGGACUGCAUGAUCACGGCGGUGAAGGCCUUCGACGAGCAGCCAAUGGAGGCGAAGGCGAGGAUCUACUGGAGGGGGAUGGAGAACGGGGUCGCAUUCUUCUCCAAUGUCGACUUGUUCCGCUCCAAAGCGGGGAGGUAAUCAACACGAAAAGAUGUAACAUAUAUGACUAAAGGAAGAUGAUGACACAUUUUAAUGUGACGAG